AACGAACGCUGGCGGCAGGCCUAACACAUGCAAGUCGAACGCCCCGCAAGGGAGUGGCAGACGGGUGAGUAACACGUGGGAACGUACCCUUCGGUUCGGGAUAACUCAGGGAAACUUGAGCUAAUACCGGAUACGUCCGAGAGGAGAAAGAUUUAUCGCCGAGGGAUCGGCCCGCGUCUGAUUAGCUUGUUGGUGAGGUAACGGCUCGCCAAGGCGACGAUCAGUAGCUGGUCUGAGAGGAUGAUCAGCCACAUUGGGACUGAGACACGGCCCAAACUCCUACGGGAGGCAGCAGUGGGGAAUAUUGGACAAUGGGCGCAAGCCUGAUCCAGCCAUGCCGCGUGAGUGAUGAAGGCCCUAGGGUUGUAAAGCUCUUUUACCCGGGAAGAUAAUGACUGUACCGGGAGAAUAAGCCCCGGCUAACUUCGUGCCAGCAGCAGCCG
rnacentral:rRNA from 1 species